rnacentral:rRNA from 1 species
GACGAACGCUGGCGGCGUGCUUAACACAUGCAAGUCGAGCGGUAAGGCCCUUUCGGGGGUACACGAGCGGCGAACGGGUGAGUAACACGUGGGUGACCUGCCUUUAGCUCUGGGAUAAGCCUGGGAAACCGGGUCUAAUACCGGAUAUGACUCCGCGGCGCAUGUUGUGGGGUGGAAAGCCUUGUGCGGCUGGAGAUGGGCCCGCGGCCUAUCAGCUUGUUGGUGGGGUGAUGGCCUACCAAGGCGACGACGGGUAGCCGGCCUGAGAGGGCGACCGGCCACACUGGGACUGAGACACGGCCCAGACUCCUACGGGAGGCAGCAGUGGGGAAUCUCGCGCAAUGGGCGAAAGCCUGACGCAGCGACGCCGCGUGAGGGAUGACGGCCU